rnacentral:tRNA from 1 species
AGUAAAAUGGCCGAACUAAGGCGGCGGAUUGUAGCUCCGUUUAUGAAGCAAACGUUUCUUUUGCUA